rnacentral:hammerhead_ribozyme from 1 species
GUCUAGCUGACGAGUCCUAAACAGGACGAAACGCGCGGUCUGGAU